rnacentral:rRNA from 1 species
CCUGACUGCUAUCGGAUUGAUACUAUGCCAUGCUAGUCCUUGUAGUAAUACAAGGCAUACGGCUCAGUAACGCGUAGUCAACCUACCCUAUGGACGGGGAUAAUCUCGGGAAACUGAGCAUAAUACCCGGCAGACCACUUAUCCUGGAAUGGUUAGUGGUUAAAAUGAUUCGUCGCCAUAGGAUGGGACUGCGGCCUAUCAGCUUGUUGGUGAGGUAAUGGCCCACCAAGGCGAUUACAGGUACGGGCUCUGAGAGGAGAAGCCCGGAGAUGGGUACUGAGACACGGACCCAGGCCCUAUGGGGCGCAGCAGGCGAGAAAACUUUGCAAUGUGCGAAAGCACGACAAGGUUAAUCCGAGUGAUUUCUGCUAAAGAAAUCUUUUGCCAGUCCUAAAACCGCUGGUGAAUAAGGGGUGGGCAAGUUCUGGUGUCAGCCGCCGCGGUAAAACCAGCACCUCAAGUGGUCAGGAUGAUUAUUGGGCCUAAAGCAUCCGUAGCCUGCUUUGUAAGUUUUCGGUUAAAUCCAUGUGCUCAACGCAUGGGCUGCCGAAAAUACUGCAUAGCUAGGGAGUGGGAGAGGUAGACGGUACUCAGUAGGUAGGGGUAAAAUCCUUUGAUCUAUUGAUGACCACCUGUGGCGAAGGCGGUCUACCAGAACACGUUCGACGGUGAGGGAUGAAAGCUGGGGGAGCAAACCGGAUUAGAUACCCGGGUAGUCCCAGCUGUAAACGAUGCAGACUAGAUGAUGCAUUGGCAUAAUAGCCAUUGCAGUGUCUCAGGGAAGCCGUUAAGUCUGCCGCCUGGGAAGUACGUACGCAAGUAUGAAACUUAAAGGAAUUGGCGGGGGAGCACCACGAAGGGGUGAAGCCUGCGGUUC